AGAAGAAAAGGAAAGGUAAGAAAAAAAUAAAUUAAAAAAAAAAAAACCCAACCCAAUGAAAUGCUUCCUCUGAACUCAUGGAAAAGCUGGGAAGUCCUCUGGGGACAGCAGGCAGGGUGAGGGGCAAGAUGGGCUGGGGCAGGGCUGUCUUCCAGGUUGUAGGUGUUCCUUGCCCAGAAGAGAAAUCGCACCACACAGCCGCCCCCCCCACCCCCCGGCCCCCUCUCCCGAGUCCUCCUCCUUCCUGGACCACCGAAUGCCUGUGGGAAAAGAAAUAAAAAGCCAGGUAGAGUUCAAAUUAGAAAAAAAAAUGGAAACCAGAUUCUCUGGGGGAAAAACAGACUCAGUGACACCGCGAGCGAAACCUGGAAAGCAGAAAUGCUAAAUGCGAGGGAGCAAGACUCUUGCAGAAGGAAAUUAGAUGUGAGCUGCCAGGUGAUACAGCCGCCGAAAGGUCAGUGCUAUUUUGGGCUGCAUAUGAAGAGGCUCCGGGCAUCUCAGGACACACACGCGCACACACAAAUGUACAAACUAGAGAGGGCUCAGAGAAAGGCAAAGCGUUGGUGAAGGGAUGGCUGUCGGCUUUGUGGUGAGAGAUUAAAGGCGUGACGGAAGCAAGAACAGACACCUGCGAGUAACCACAGAGGCACCCAGGCAAAGUGGAGUAGCCGGGCAGCAAAAGCAGGAGGAAACCAGUGGAGGCGGGGUUGGAACACAACUGGCUCAUGGGAACGUGGGACCUGGGGAUAGACUCGGAUCCAGGCGCCUCCAGACGUCGGCACAGAAGCUCAAGGAUUUUGACUGUGGUGUUCCCCUUUUAGCAUGUUCAGUGUCAGCCCCAUUAUUUUCGUACAGCUAACUGACUACUUGUGUGCUUGCUGUAUACUUUUUUUUUUUUUUUUUUGGUCUCAAAGCUUCCGGUUAUGCAUGUUUCCUGAUGCCUCAAUUUUACUCCUACUUGGUGUUUCCCUAGUUUGUCUUGCCAUGUCCCUUGGUGGAAGAGGUGGUUGGCUCCUUGUCUCCAGUAUCUGCUCUCUCCUUCCAAAGUAGUGGCUUUAACUCUAUCAGACUAAACACCUCGUUUUCACACGGAAUAGUUUACAAGCCACCCUUGGCGGACCUGAAAUUUGUGAGCACGUUUUUUCCCAUGUAAAGACUCCGAAAAGAAUCAAUAAUGCCCUAAGUGGAACGUAAAAUAAAUGCAGAAAAUAAAGUAACUUAAAGUAAAAUAGUUUUUACAUUUACAUUACAUCAUUACAAAUAAUUACGGUAUUUAAAUGAAAUUAAUUAAUUUAAAAUGAUACACAAUUUAAUAAGCAAACACUCAGGCAUAACUGUACUAGAAAAUGCAAUGAUGUAGUGAGAUGAUUACACCAAACAUGAACCAGGACAAAUGUAGUACUUACAACCAGGGACUUACAAAUGAUGACUUAAAUGCUGUGAGCUGCAUUAUUAUAGAUGAUGUGCUUAUUUUUCUGAAAUGGUAAACAACUCUGGGUAAAGAUACAAAUAUAAUAAAGUACAGUUUUUCCUUAAUUGA